rnacentral:rRNA from 1 species
CCUACGGGAGGCAGCAGUGGGGAAUAUUGGACAAUGGGCGAAAGCCUGAUCCAGCAAUGCCGCGUGAGUGAUGAAGGCCUUAGGGUUGUAAAGCUCUUUUACCCGGGAUGAUAAUGACAGUACCGGGAGAAUAAGCUCCGGCUAACUCCGUGCCAGCAGCCGCGGUAAUACGGAGGGAGCUAGCGUUAUUCGGAAUUACUGGGCGUAAAGCGCACGUAGGCGGCUUUGUAAGUAAGAGGUGAAAGCCUGGUGCUCAACACCAGAACUGCCUUUUAGACUGCAUCGCUUGAAUCCAGGAGAGGUGAGUGGAAUUCCGAGUGUAGAGGUGAAAUUCGUAGAUAUUCGGAAGAACACCAGUGGCGAAGGCGGCUCACUGGACUGGUAUUGACGCUGAGGUGCGAAAGCGUGGGGAGCAGACAGGAUUAGAUACCCUGGUAGUCCACGCCGUAAACGAUGAUAACUAGCUGUCGGGGCUCUUAGAGCUUCGGUGGCGCAGCUAACGCAUUAAGUUAUACGCCUGGGGAGUACGGCCGCAAGGUUAAAACUUAAAGGAAUUGACGG